CUGCCUUUCGCUCUCUCUCAUUUUUCUCUCUAUUUGAAGACUUUCUUCUUCUUCCUUCUUGAUUUUUUUUUUUUUUUUUUUUUUUUUUUUUUGAAUCUGGAGAUUAUUACUUAUUUGUAUGAUUCUUAUAAAUCUCGUGUGCUACAGUAACUAGUAGGCAUGUUGUGUAGUCGAUAUGUUGUAUUUGUGUUGUUGUGGCCGAUUUUGUGAGGAAGCAGAUUGUAGUGUCCAUAUUUGAGAUCUGUUUGGAUCGAUAAUUGAUCUAGUUGUUCUCUUUGGGUCUAUGUACUGUAAUCUCUCUGGGAGGUAGAAUUGAACUAGUGGAUUGGGCUGACUCUGAGCCCCCCAGAUUAAGCCAUUCGAGCGGAAAUGGGUGAACAUUUUUCUGUGUUCCUUUAUUUUCCUGCACUUUGCAUUUGUGUUGUUCUUGGUUUUGGGUAAAAAUAUUCUACAAUAAUUUCAUUGCUUUAUAGGCAAGAGGCAAAAGCAAUAGAAAGCAGUUGGAAGUAAAGAAAAAUGGUCACUAAACAGACUCUAAGCAUUCCAACAAUUAUUUUUUAUAUUUUUUUAAUUCAAAUUGAAUAAUUGUACGACAAUUACAUCAUAGUUAAAAAAGAUAUCUUGCUUGGGAUUUUCAUUUUUCAUAUUCUAAAUAUUAAUCCCUAUUUAUUGGAUUGUUUAACUGACUGCAUAUUGCUAUGUAUAUUUUUUGUUACAUUUACCUUCACUGAUGAUGAUAGAUUUGAAUUUAUUUAAGAUAGAUAAAGGGUCUUAGACCUAAUUAAAAGCGAUAACCUUGAGUACAGGACAAGUUCAUUUAACACGAUCAAUGUAAAAUUAUUGCCGGAAUAUCAUUUGAAGAAAAUAUGCUGAUGCAACAGGCAUUUGUGCCAAAAUUUAAAAUUGCUGUCAAUUAUCAAUUCUUCACUGAAUAUGUGGUCUUUUGACCCAGAUAUGCUUUGGUUUCUGAUUCUCUAAUUUCCUUGUGACAGAGCUCCAAACAAAAACCAUUGGCAGUUCCUUGAUGAAAGAAGAAAAAUACUAUUAAAGAGUAUUCUAGGAUCUUUGGCAGAAUUAUAGGUAGCCAAAACGGGAUGAAGCACCUCAAACAAUCCGGAAAUAUGAUUUUCUUCCAACCGAUGUAUGGUCUCAAAUCUUAUUGAGGCUACCCUUGAAGUCUCUUUUGCUCUGCUCUAGAGUCUGCAAUACCCACCUCAAACACAACAUUCUGAACAAUCAAGAUCAAUCAACUGAUCUUUUUGUCAAUCUUGGAAGUAUAUAUUUGUGGAACCCUACUAUCAAGAAAGUUAUUGCAGCCCCAACAUCCAUGUUUUCGUACACAGAAUGUAGUUACAAUAUUUUUGUUCUUGGGUUUGGUUAUGAUGCUCACCACAAAAGAUUUGUACCUUUACAUUU
rnacentral:lncRNA from 1 species